UACGUAGGGUGCAAGCGUUGUCCGGAAUUAUUGGGCGUAAAGAGCUCGUAGGCGGUCUGUCGCGUCGGAUGUGAAAACCCAGGGCUCAACCCUGGGCCUGCAUUCGAUACGGGCAGACUAGAGUUCGGUAGGGGAGACUGGAAUUCCUGGUGUAGCGGUGAAAGGCGCAGAUAUCAGGAGGAACACCGGUGGCGAAGGCGGGUCUCUGGGCCGAAACUGACGCUGAGGAGCGAAAGCGUGGGGAGCAAACAGG
rnacentral:rRNA from 1 species